rnacentral:rRNA from 1 species
CCUACGGGAGGCAGCAGUGGGGAAUAUUGGACAAUGGGGGCAACCCUGAUCCAGCCAUGCCGCGUGUGUGAAGAAGGCCCUCGGGUUGUAAAGCACUUUCAGUGAGGAAGAACGCCUGUUGGUUAAUACCCAUCAGGAAAGACAUCACUCACAGAAGAAGCACCGGCUAACUCCGUGCCAGCAGCCGCGGUAAUACGGAGGGUGCGAGCGUUAAUCGGAAUUACUGGGCGUAAAGCGCGCGUAGGUGGCUUGAUAAGCCGGUUGUGAAAGCCCCGGGCUCAACCUGGGAACGGCAUCCGGAACUGUCAAGCUAGAGUGCAGGAGAGGAAGGUAGAAUUCCCGGUGUAGCGGUGAAAUGCGUAGAGAUCGGGAGGAAUACCAGUGGCGAAGGCGGCCUUCUGGACUGACACUGACACUGAGGUGCGAAAGCGUGGGUAGCAAACAGGAUUAGAUACCCCAGUAGUC